rnacentral:rRNA from 1 species
UACAGAGGGUGCAAGCGUUGUUCGGAAUUAUUGGGCGUAAAGCGCGUGUAGGCGGCCAGGUAGGUCGGUUGUGAAAACUGGAGGCUCACCUUCAGAGGUCGACCGAAACCAUCUGGCUAGAGUCCGGGAGAGGAGAGUGGAAUUCCUGGUGUAGCGGUGAAAUGCGCAGAUAUCAGGAAGAACACCCGUGGCGAAAGCGGGUCUCUGGGCAGUAACUGACGCUGAGGAGCGAAAGCGUGGGGAGCGAACAGG